rnacentral:rRNA from 1 species
UCGAGAAUCUUCCCCAAUGCACGAAAGUGUGAGGGAGCGACGCCGCGUGCCAGAAGAAGGCCUUCGGGUUGUAAAUGGCUUUUGUAAGAGAAAAAUUUGCGAUGGUAUCUUACGAAUAAGGGGCUGCUAACUUCGUGCCAGCAGCAGCGGUAAUACGAAGGCCCCGAGCGUUAUCCGGAUUUAUUGGGCGUAAAGCGUUAAAAGGCUGUUUUGUGUGUCGGGUGUUAAAUCCCAGGGCUCAACCCUGGAUCUGCAUCCGAAACUGCAAAACUUGAGGUCGGGAGAGGCAAGUGGAAUUGCUGGUGUAGCAGUAAAAUGCGUUUAUAUCAGCAGGAACAUCGAUAGCGAAGGCAGCUUGCUAGAACGAAUCUGACGCUAAAUAACGAAAGCGUGGGUAGCG